GAUGAACGCUGGCGGCGUGCCUAAUACAUGCAAGUCGAACGGAAAGGCCCUGCUUUUGCGGGGCGCACGAGUGGCGAACGGGGGUGUAACACGCGAGUAACCUGCACCUGACUUAGGGAGAACACCAGGAAACUGGGGCUCAUAUAGGAUAGAAGCUACUGCAGCAUGGGGGUGGAUAGAAAGAUUCGGCGGUUCGGGAUCGACUCGAGGGUUAUCCGCUGGUUGGUGGGGUUGUGGCAUACAAGGGCUAUGAAGGGUAGGCGGCAUGAGAGGGUGAACGGCCACAAUGCGACUGAGGUACGGACCAGACUCCUACGGGAGGCAGCAGUGGGGAAUCUUGCACAAUGGGCUGAAGCGUGAUGCAGCAGCGUCGCGUGCGGGAUGACGGCCUUCGGGUUGUAAACCGCUUUCGACUGUGACGAAGCGUGAGUGACGGUAAUGGGUAAAGAAGCACCGGCUAACUACGUG
rnacentral:rRNA from 1 species